UACGUAGGGGGCUAGCGUUGUCCGGAAUCAUUGGGCGUAAAGCGCGCGUAGGCGGCCCGGUAAGUCCGUUGUGAAAGUCAAAGGCUCAACCUUUGAAAGCCGAUGGAUACUGCCGGGCUGGAGUCCGGAAGAGGCGAGUGGAAUUCCUGGUGUAGCGGUGGAAUGCGCAGAUAUCAGGAAGAACACCUAUGGCGAAGGCAGCUCUCUGGGACGGUACUGACGCUGAGACGCGAAAGCGUGGGGAGCGAACAGG
rnacentral:rRNA from 1 species